AAAUGUAAAAAAAAAACCC
rnacentral:miRNA from 1 species